GACGAACGCUGGCGGCGUGCCUAAUACAUGCAAGUCGAGCGCUGAAGCUUGGUACUUGUACCGACUGGAUGAGCAGCGAACGGGUGAGUAACGCGUGGGGAAUCAGCCUUUGAGCGGGGGACAACAUCUGGAAACGAAUGAUAAUACCGCAUAAAAACUUUAAACACAAGUUUCAAGGUUGAAAGAUGCAAUUGCAUCACGCAAAGAUGAUCCCGUGUUGUAUUAGCUAGUGGGUGAGGUAAAGGCCCACCAAGGCGACGAUACAUAGCCGCCUGGAGAGGUGGUCGGCCCACUUUGGACUUGGGCCCGGCCCCAACCCCCACGGGGGGGCGCCAUAGGGGAUCUUCGGCAAUAGACGAAAGUCUUGCCGAGCAACGCCGCGUUGGUGAAGAAGGUUUUCGGGUCGUUAAACUCUGUUGGUAGAGAAGAACGUUGGUGAGAGUGGAAAGCUCAUCAAGUGACGGUACCUAACCAGAAAGCGACGGCUAACUACGUG
rnacentral:rRNA from 1 species